CCCACACAUGACCCGUGUUCGGCAGGAGCGGGGGACCCCUCAGGCACGACUGCCUGUCCCGGUCUCCGGGGCACAGGCUCGGGGUGCGGCCGCGACGCGCGGCCGGGCGGCUCCAGCCCGAACCCGACAGCUCACCUCGCAGGCGCCGGAGAGGAACG
rnacentral:sRNA from 2 species